GGAGAAGUGGCAGAGUGUUUAUGCGGUUGACUUGAAAUCAUUUGAUGGAGGUUUAAUUCCUCUCUUCUCUU
rnacentral:tRNA from 1 species